AUUGAACGCUGGCGGCAGGCCUAACACAUGCAAGUCGAACGGUAACAGGAAGAAGCUUGCUUCUUUGCUGACGAGUGGCGGACGUGUGAGUCAUGUCUGGGAAACUGCCUGAUGGAGGGGGAUAACUACUGGAAACGGUAGCUAAUACCGCAUAACGUCGCAAGAACAAAGAGGGGGACCUUCGGGCCCCUUGCCCUUGGGUGUGCCAGAUGGGAGUGGCUAGUAGGCGGGGUAACGGCUCACCUUAGCGGGGCUGGCUAGAUGGUCUGAGAGGAUGAACAGCCACACUGGAAGUGAGGAACGGUCCAGACUCCGACGGGGGGCAGCAGUGGGGAAUAUUGCACAAUGGGCGCAUGCCGGAUGCAGCCAUGCCGCGUGUAUGAAGAAGGCCUUCGGGUUGGAAAGUACUUUCGGCGGGGAGGAAGGGAGUAAAUUUAAUACCUUUGCUCAUUGACGUUACCCGCAGAAGAAGCACCGGCUAACUCCGUG
rnacentral:rRNA from 1 species